rnacentral:rRNA from 1 species
CCUACGGGAGGCUGCAGUAAGGAAUAUUGGUCAAUGGAGGAAACUCUGAACCAGCCAUCCCGCGUGAAGGAUGAAGGGGCUCUGCCUUGUAAACUUCUUUUGUCUGGGGCGAAAAAGCUCGAUUUAUCGAGAACUUACGGUACCAGACGAAUAAGCACCGGCUAACUCCGUGCCAGCAGCCGCGGUAAUACGGAGGUUGCAAGCGUUAUCGGGAAUCACUGGUGCGAAAGCGUCCUUGUGCGGCUGUGUAGAAAGGCUGGGGCUUAACCAUGGAAUUGCCAUUGAUACUGCAGAGCUUGAAUGAGGUUGAGGUUGGCGGAAUGUGACAUGUAGCGGUGAAAUGCUUAGAUAUGUCAUGGAACACCGAUUGCGAAGGCAGCUGACUGGACCUAUAUUGACGCUGAGGCACGAAAGCGUGGGGAGCGAACAGGAUUAGAUACCCGUGUAGUC